UUUCCGUAGGUGAACCUGCGGAAGGAUCAUUAAUGAGUUGUCAUGGGGUUCGAUGCUGGCAGCCAAUUUUUGGAUGCAUGUGCUUGCCCUAACAAUCAUCUUCCAAACACCUGUGCACAUUUUUGAGGGAGUCUUGAGUUGGUUGCCGCUCUUGGGUGAUUUUCUCACAUUCCCUUAAAUCAUCAUACGCUAUUAACAAUGUUGAACGUGCUCUGUGCCGCAAGGCCAUUAAUAUAAUACAACUUUUAACAACGGAUCUCUUGGCUCUCGUAUCGAUGAAGAACGCAGC
rnacentral:misc_RNA from 1 species